UACGUAGGGGGCUAGCGUUAUCCGGAAUUACUGGGCGUAAAGGGUGCGUAGGUGGUUUCUUAAGUCAGAGGUGAAAGGCUACGGCUCAACCGUAGUAAGCCUUUGAAACUGGGAAACUUGAGUGCAGGAGAGGAGAGUAGAAUUCCUAGUGUAGCGGUGAAAUGCGUAGAUAUUAGGAGGAAUACCAGUUGCGAAGGCGGCUCUCUGGACUGUAACUGACACUGAGGCACGAAAGCGUGGGGAGCAAACAGGAUUAGAUAUCCGGGUAGUCCCUGAG
rnacentral:rRNA from 1 species